rnacentral:rRNA from 1 species
GACGAACGCUGGCGGCGUGCUUAACACAUGCAAGUCGAACGGAAAGGCCCUGCUUGCAGGGUACUCGAGUGGCGAACGGGUGAGUAACACGUGGGUGAUCUGCCCUGCACUUCGGGAUAAGCCUGGGAAACUGGGUCUAAUACCGGAUAGGAGCCAUUUUUAGUGUGAUGGUUGGAAAGUUUUUUCGGUGUAGGAUGAGCUCGCGGCCUAUCAGCUUGUUGGUGGGGUAAUGGCCUACCAAGGCGGCGACGGGUAGCCGGCCUGAGAGGGUGGACGGCCACACUGGGACUGAGAGACGGCCCAGACUCCUACGGGAGGCAGCAGGGGGGAAUAUUGCACAAUGGGCGCAAGCCUGAUGCAGCGACGCCGCGUGGGGGAUGACGGCCUUCGGGUUGUAAACUCCUUUCGCUAGGGACGAAGCUUUUUGUGACGGUACCUAGAUAAGAAGCACCGGCUAACUACGUG